rnacentral:lncRNA from 1 species
GGUGCGUGAAGGUGGAGGGUGAGAAGGCUAGCACUCCUUGCGCUGGCCUCCGUCACGUUUCUAUCGGCUGUGGGGAAUUGGGAAGAAGAGCUUUGAGCCACUCGCUCUGCCAGGUAAUGUGGCUACGACACGGCCCGCUGUAGCGCCGGGCCUGAGUCUUAAAUCUGAGGUUAAUUCUGAACGAUGCUCCGGCUUGCGGCCCCCUUCGCCUGGCCCCGGCCGAACCACAGAGCCCUAUUCAGGCUUUGAGGGACUGAAGAGCUCAAGCGGCGCCCUUUGCCAAGUCCAUGCAUACCACCGCUUCCGCCAGACACUCGGGUCUCUGAGGCACCUACUCUGAGAGCUCCAAAGAGAGGCUGAGGCCAGUUCUCCCCUUUCCCAAGAAGAGUCUGAGACUGAAACCUUGAUGCUGAGAACACCUUUCCCCUUUCUGAUGCAAGCAGCUUGCAGAUUGUUAAUGCCGGAGCCUGAGGCAAGAAUGUCACAGACCUUUCCCAGGUGUUUGUUAAGGUUCUCCCAACAGGACGAUAAACUCAUCUGGAAGGCAGAGGGCCUGCCCAUUCAUAAACCUGUUGAUGUGGUCCCCAGAGUACCAGUUUAAGAUGGCAAGACCAACACUGUUGAUUCUGGGGCCAGAACUGGGACAAGUCCUUGAUUUGUCUACACUAGCUGUAUACACCAUCUACCUCCUGAGAGGAUUCAUUUUUCUUCCUAUUGCAACUCACUCUUGCAGAUGGAGCAGUCAUUUUGAGAGCAUGAAGAUGAAGAUACGUGAAAAAGCCAGAAGGAUUCUGGUCUCUCAAGUGCUAAAAAGGAGGAGUUGAGAAGAACUGGACCAAACAGCAGGUUGAGAGUACCCACAUCUGCCAAAGGGGCAGGGGGCUCAGAUGAAAUGAACAAAGUCAUGGCCCUCACGGGGUUCAGCUUCAUUGGAAAGACAGACCAGAAACCAACUCAUGACCAUGGGGAGAGCACCAUGAGGGUAUGGACAUGCUGCACGGACCCUAAAGGAGCAUGUUCUGAACUUGACUUGAGCUGAGCUGAGCCGGGGCGAAGGGGAGGCAGCCAAGGCAGACAUCUGAGAGGAGGUGCUGGCCCUGCAGCCACCUUUUAAAAGACGGUGUAAAACAUGGCUGUCUGUGCGGCGUGUGGAAGCAGGAAAGCGGGUGAGGUCGUGUCCGGGGCCGGAGCACAGUGUGCCUCAAGAGAGAGACCAGACAUCCCGUAAGAGGCAGAGAAGGCCCAUCGCUUUAAAAGCCUCAAGCGCAAUGCCAAGGAAUUCUAUCUUUAUUCUAAAACGAAUGGGCAGUCAUUAAAGGAUACUAAGCAGAAAAAUGCAUUGACUAGACAUGCAUGUUGGAAAAUGUACUUUGAUCAAAUUUGGUGUUGUUUAUGGUCAUUUCUAUAAAGUAUUUGGCAUUGGAAACUUAGUCAGGAACUUCACCCCCUAAUAGGACCAUUCUAAUUUCUUUAUAUUUCCUCUGAAAUUGACACCCGAAAUAAAGCUGACUUCCUAU